AUGAACGCUGGCGGCGUGCCUAAUACAUGCAAGUCGAGCGAACAGACGAGGAGCUUGCUCCUCUGACGUUCGCGGCGGACGGGUGAGUAACACGUGGAUAACCUACCUAUAAGACUGGGAUAACUUCGGGAAACCGGAGCUAAUACCGGAUAAUAUAUUGAACCGCAUGGUUCAAUAGUGAAAGACGGUUUUGCUGACACUUAUAGAUGGAUCCGCGCCGCAUUAGCUAGUUGGUAAGGUAACGGCUUACCAAGGCAACGAUGCGUAGCCGACCUGAGAGGGUGAUCGGCCACACUGGAACUGAGACACGGUCCAGACUCCUACGGGAGGCAGCAGUAGGGAAUCUUCCGCAAUGGGCGAAAGCCUGACGGAGCAACGCCGCGUAAGUGAUGAAGGUCUUCGGAUCGUAAAACUCUGUUAUUAGGGAAGAACAAAUGUGUAAGUAACUAUGCACGUCUUGACGGUACCUAAUCAGAAAGCCACGGCUAACUACGUG
rnacentral:rRNA from 1 species